AUUGAACGCUGGCGGCAGGCCUAACACAUGCAAGUCGAGCGAGCGGCGGACGGGUGAGUAGUGUCUGGGAAACUGCCUGAUGGAGGGGGAUAACUACAGGAAACGGUAGCUAAUACCGCAUACCAUCAGAUGUGCCCACAUGGGAUUUGCUAGGAGGUGGGGUAACGACUCACCUAGGCGACGAUCCCUAGCUGGUCUGAGAGGAUGACCAGCCACACGGGACCGGAGACAUGGUCCAGACUCCUACGGUAGGCAGCAGUGGGGAAUAUUGGACAAUGGGCGCGAGCCUUAUGCAGCCAUGCCGCGCGUGUGAAGAAGGCCUUCGGGUUGUAAAGCAGUUUCAGCGGGGAGGCGUUACCCGCAGAAGAAGCACCGGCUAACUCCGUGCCAGCAGCCGCGGUAAUUC
rnacentral:rRNA from 1 species